rnacentral:rRNA from 1 species
CCUACGGGAGGCAGCAGUGAGGAAUUUUCCGCAAUGGGCGAAAGCCUGACGGAGCAACACCGCGUGAGUGAUUGAAAGCCUUCGGGUUGUAAAGCUCUUUCGUACUGGAAGAAAACUUCCCUGUUAAUAGCAGGGUGGUGUGACUGUACAGUAGGAAGAAGACACGGCUAACUCUGUGCCAGCAGCCGCGGUAAAACAGAGGUGUCGAGCGUUGUUCGGAAUGACUGGGUGUAAAGCGCGUGUAGGUGGUUUUGUAAGUCAGAUGUAAAAUUCCUACUUUCAUUGUAGGGGAGUCAUGUGAUACUGCAGGACUUGAGGACAAGAGAGGAAAGCAGAAUUCCCGGUGUAGCGGUGAAAUGCGUAGAUAUCGGGAGGAAUACCUGUGGCGAAGGCGGCUUUCUGGUUUUUCCCUGACACUCAACCGCGAAAGCUAAGGGAGCAAACGGGAUAAGAUACCCCGGUAGU